UUCCACUAAUGAACUCUGGAACACAGUGUAAAGGAUCAAGGAAUGAAGGAUGAUGCCUGAAAGUCUAAAAUCGUCUCUUCUCUAUCUAGAUUCUAGCAUCUAAAAUCGUCCAUUCAUCUCAGAAAUCAUCUCACCCGUAGUCAAUUAAUCAUCUUCUACAAUCUACAUCAUGUCAACCCUAGAGGUAACCAGCUGAGCUAAUAGGCCAAUUGUGAGCUGAAUUGGUACUUUUUGAUUUUCAGAUAAAAUCUCUAGAUGCAACAAUGGUUUGUGUCUAAUAGUGAGAGAGAACAGAUGAACAGGUGUUUUCUGGGAUUUUACAAUGCUUCAUGGACGACGAAGAACAGCAUUAUUCCACAAAGUCCUUUUCCGAUGGCUACACGUUCGAAACAAAACCACAAUUACUCAACCCCACACUUCACCAACAAAGUUGGAUACUUUUCUCCUUGUUGCUUCCAUAGUGAAAUCCCUCUCUGAGCCCGGUGGCACUCGUAACCUUAACAAUGUUGAAUCGAGUCUUAUUUCACUCUCCGAUUCACUGGUUCUUGAAAUCCUGAAAAGAAACUCUCUUGAUGUAUCUAAAAAGAUUGAUUUUUUCAAGUGGUGUUCUCUCAGGCAUAGCUACAAACACUCGGCGGGCACUUAUUCCCAGAUGCUUAAAACCCUGUGUAUAAACCCUGUGAUUCAUAAAGAUUAUAUUUUUCACCUUCUUUCCUCCAUGAACUUAGAAGGCGUAGUUCUUGAUUCAUCAACAUUCAAAUUCCUCCUUGAUUCUUUCAUAAAGUCCGGUAAUUUUGAUUCUGCACUUGAAAUAUUGGAUCAUGUGGAGAAUAUUUUAGAUAAGUUAAAUCCUGAUGUUUACAACUCUGUUCUUAUUGCCCUUGUUCAUAGUAAUCACUUAAACAUGGCCUUGUUUACAUGGUUUAAGCUUUUGGAUUCGGUUACGCGUGAAGACGUUGGUUCUAUCGAUCUCGCGGCGUGUAGCGAGUUGCUUGUUGCACUAAGAAAGGCCGGCAUGAGAUCCGAGUUCAGAAAUGUUUUUAACAAGUGUAGAGAAAAGAUUAAUAAUUUUCCGGUUGAUGUGUGGGGGUAUAAUGUAUGUAUUCACGCGUUCGGUAAUUGGGGCGAAUUGGAAACUUCAUUGAAUCUUUUCAAAGAGAUGAAGGAAAAGGGUGAUCCUUUAGCUCCUGAUUUGUGCACUUAUAACAGUCUGAUUCAAUCGCUUUGCUUCAAUGGGAAGGUGAAUGAUGCGCUUAUCGUUUGGGAAGAGUUAAAAAGCUCGGGUCAUGAGCCGGAUGAAUUCACGUAUCGUAUAAUCAUACAAGGCUGCUGUAAAUGCUAUAGAAUAAACGACGCCACCAAAAUCUUUAGUGAAAUGCAGCAUAACGGGUUUCGCCCGGAUACUAUCGUGUAUAAUUCUGUUCUUGACGGGUUUCUGAAAUCGAGAAAACUUACGGAAGCGUGCCAGCUGUUUGAGAAAAUGGUUGACGAUGGGGUGCGGGCUUCUUCCUGCACAUACAAUAUACUGAUCGAUGGGUUGUUUAAAAACCGAAGAGCCCAAGCUGCGUACGCGUUGUUUGGAGAUUUAAAAAAGAAAGGUCGGUUUGUGGACGGAAUCACGUACUCCAUUGUUAUAUUUCAUAUAUGCAAAGAGGGAAUGAUCGAAGAAGCGUUGGAAUUGGUGGAAGAAAUGGAAUCCAGAGGGUUUGUUGUCGAUUUAGUUACGAUAACUCAUCUCUUGGUAGCUAUUAACACUGAAAGUCGAACGGAUUUAACCGACAGACUCUUGAGGCAUAUAAAAAAUGGUAAUCUGAUGCCGUCGGUUCUUGAAUGGAAAGAUAACAUGGAGGCGUUGUUGAAAGAUCCAAAGAACCAGAAAAAAGAUUUCACCCCUAUGUUUCAAAAAGGUGAUUUUAGAGAGAUAAUGUCGUUAAUUACUUCACGUGAGUCGUGUUCUUCAAGUAAAGAAGCCAUCGACCCAUGGUCAUCAUCACCGUACAUGGAUCAUUUGGCCGAUGAGGCGAAAUUGCAGCGCCAGCUACUGGUUUCAUCGAGGGGAAAACGUGUUCAAGAAAAAGGUGUAGAUUCAUUUGAUAUUAAUAUGGUGAAUACGUACUUAUCUUUAUAUCUAACUAAAGGAAAGCUAAGUUUAGCAUGCAAACUGUUCGAUAUUUUUAACGAUUUGGGUGUUGAUCCUGUGAAUUACACUUACAAUUCGCUAAUGAGCUCGUUGGUGAAGAAAGGGUAUUUAAAUGAGGCGUAUGGAGUUCUUUCGGAAAUGGGAGAGAAGGUUAGGUCUGCUGACGUGGCAACGUACAAUGUGAUAUUUCAAGCGUUGGGAAAGAUGGGUCGGGCUGAUCUGGCGGGUGCGGUUUUGAGGAAAUUAACGGAGGGCGGUUUUCUCGAUAUGGUGAUGUAUAAUACGCUGAUUAGUGUAUUGGGAAAGGGUGGGCGGUUUGAUGAGGUAGAUAGGGUUCUUGAGCAGAUGAAGAAAAGUGGGAUAAACCCUGAUGUUGUUACGUAUAAUACGCUAAUUGAAGUUAAUAGCAAAGCGGGUAGAUUGAAGGAAGCUCAACGGUUUUUGAAGAUGAUGGUGGAUGCCGGUUGUGCUCCAAAUCAUGUCACUGAUACGACCCUUGAGUUCUUGGAGAAAGAAAUUAAAAAGGCGAAACAGAAACGAAAGUGAAUUUUUUUUGAAUUAGAUUCUGGUAGAUUUGCAUGAGUCUAAACAUGUUUAGAGGUCCUUGUUUGAUAAGAAUGUAGGUCAACAGUCAACGGCAAAGAGUCGAGUCUGAUACUUUUUAGAAAUGAAACUUCACUUGAAGAAGAUGAGUAUAAAAAAUCCAUAUUAUGUGAGAUUUUUCUAUGCUUUUUGCCAGAUAGGAGUACCGGUGUUGGGUGUAUCAAAAUUGUACUGCGAGUUAAUAGGUUUCAGAUCAGUGUUACGUAUGACCUGCAAAUCUGUGGAAAGUGUUAGGUUUGAGCUCUUAUUGUGUUCUGCUGAGAAAAUGUCUACUAGAGUCAUUAAUAAUAUUCAUUCUGGAUUGACAGAUCCACAUGUUCUCCCUGCACCAUAGCGAUCAAUAAAAGGAAACGACAUGUUAUUCCACCUUCUGCCCCGUCGAUCCACACAAAGAGGUGGCACAACUGUGAUAAUCAACAAAGCAUUCCCACCUGGAAUCACCACAGAAGCCACGGUGUCAACACUCGUGUUACCGCCAGUCACACCAAAGGCAAAAAGGAAGAUGCACCCCCUCCCCAGGUAAACAUUAUGCAAGUAUUGGGAAUGUUAGAUCCCUUGGUUUUAAAAAUACUAAAAGCAUUGACAUUACAUAUGGUUAAACUUCCGAUUAAGGCAACAUUCAAUAAAAUUAAUUGAAACUUAGAUCAUGAAUUA